rnacentral:rRNA from 1 species
AUUGAACGCUGGCGGCAUGCUUUACACAUGCAAGUCGAACGGUAACAGGUCUUCGGAUGCUGACGAGUGGCGAACGGGUGAGUAAUGUAUCGGAACGUGCCCAGUAGUGGGGGAUAACUACUCGAAAGAGUGGCUAAUACCGCAUGAGAACUGAGGUUGAAAGCGGGGGACCUUCGGGCCUCGCGCUACUGGAGCGGCCGAUAUCAGAUUAGGUAGUUGGUGGGGUAAAGGCCUACCAAGCCGACGAUCUGUAGCUGGUCUGAGAGGACGACCAGCCACACUGGGACUGAGACACGGCCCAGACUCCUACGGGAGGCAGCAGUGGGGAAUUUUGGACAAUGGACGCAAGUCUGAUCCAGCAAUGCCGCGUGCAGGACGAAGGCCUUCGGUGUAAACUGCUUUGUUACAGAACGAAAAGGACUCUGGUUAAUACCUGGGCUCAAUGACCGGUACUGUAAGAAUAAGCA